ensembl:snRNA U6 U6 spliceosomal RNA
GUGCUCACUUCGGCAGCACAUGUAGUAAAAUGGGAACGAUACAGAGACCAGCAUGGCCCCUGCAUGAGGAAGACAUGCAAUUUAUGAAGCAUCCCAUAUUUUU